AAGAAAAGGGGGAGGACUUCUCUGGAUAACUCCUUGACCUUCUCUUGUUUUAUUUCGGGACUCGAUCUUCUCGACCCUGGGGAGAUUUCUCUCUCUCGACUAGGUCUCGAGGGCUGGAGGGGUGAAUAUUGUUUUCCCUCUUGCUCUCCCUUUCAACCAGUACUUUCCAUGCUUGACGAGUCAGCUUUCGAAGUUGACCGGAAUUUUGUUUUGGUUCCAAAACGAAUCGAGGCCGGACAAUUGUACAGUUCUUCCUCCUGACGACUCCGGCUAAUGCCACAGUUGGUAUACUAUGAGAAGAGUCGCUAGAGAGACAGAGCACUCCAGGUCCAGCUCUGGACUCACCGACAGGACGAGAGAGGACUGAAGAAAAGUUUCAGUGGCUGUACGUGUUCAUGGUUAGAGAGCGAAUUAACAGGUGUUACAUGCAGAUAUCGUGUUUUUUGUUGUUCAUAUUGCUCAAUCCAUAAACUUUGUUAAUGCCUCAUUCAAAUCCGGGGAUCCCAGUAACUAUAUCAACUAUGAAUACACUGGAAGGCCAACUUGUCUCUUCUAUGCAAAGGAAACUAUAUAUGAGCUUACCUCAAGGUGCUUCAAAGCAUCAUUUCAAGCUUGGUGAGUAGCUUGAUGAGCAGCUUGUGUUUCUUAGACAAUUGAAUGGAUUACUCAAAGCACCCCUAGUGUAGGAAGUAAUUGCAAAAGAUCUUCAUGAUAAUGAAUGGAAAUGCCGACAUAUUUUCAGGUUCUCGUUUUGACAAUGACAAAUCAAUGGAGUUCUUGCAGCUUGGUACAUGAUCAAGCUGCCUACCCAAGUACUCAAGGAAAUCCUGGGGAGGCUGACCCAAAUAACACAACAGUAAGUAAUUUUUGUGAGCAUUGUCGGUGAUGAAUGGCGAGCGGUGGGAUCAU